CAUUCAGAUGAUUCCUUCCAAUAUCUAUUGCUUUGCAUUUGUUAACAAUGAAUUUAAACUGCUUUCAUGUUGCUAGGUCACUGUUGUCAGGUCCCUCUGAAGCUUGUCUGUUUUCUCCAGACUCAAUUAACCAGAGUAAUCUUGGGGUUUGUCUCGACUACAAAAUUAAGUCGACCUUAGUUAGGUUGAUAUAUAGCCACCGCAGUAAUCACUGUUUUUUCAUGUCCUUACUACCCUCCUUUGGCCAGCGGUGUGCAUCCUUUCAAGCAGUGUUUGCACCGAUUUAAGUGGGGUAAUGUGGGGGGGGCUGACAGCACAGGGCGGUGAGGCUCCUCCAGCCGUGAACUGACAGCUAACAAGCGAUGUAAGUAACGCAGCAUCUACACAGACACUCAUUUGCCUUAACUACCUUGACCUAAGUGCUACUCGUGUCAUGAAGAUGGAAUUAUUAAGUUGGUGUCAUAGGCAACUUAUAUUGGCAGCAGUAAUGUUGUCGUAUAGACGCUUAGAGUUAGGUUGAUAUAAGCUGCCUUACGUUGACCUAACUCUGUAGUGUAGACCAGGCCUUGCUUUUUGCAAAUUUUGUCGUGUCCGUGAGUUCCUACCUUGGAAUUGUAACUUUAAAUUUUCUAGUUCUGGACAGUAUCUAAAACUGAAAGGGGUCUGUUUUCAUAUUCUGUCUUGAAAUCUCAAGCUGAAAUCCCACAAAAAUGUCUGUUUUGAGAGAUACUGGCUCAAGAUUGCAGAAAUCUUGUGAUAGAAUUAUGUAACUUUCCGCUUUGUUACAAUGUACAUUUUUUUUUUUUCAAAAUUCUUGCCACACUUUGGAUAUUUGGAUAAUUACUGUUAUACCAGAAUUGGGUAAAAUGAGUUAGGGUUUAGGUGGCUUGUCUAGUGUCACAUGUCGAGUCAGUAGUAGGAAUAGAAUUCACGUCUUCUGACUGAAAGUUCCCUGUUCUAGUAGAUGAUGGUACUUCUGUGGCACCAGCUUUUUUUAGAUGUCUGCUCCAUUCCAGAACCAGAUUUCUAGGUCAGCACUGAACCAACACCCUUACGUUGUCUGUGUGUGGCACCAUGCUGCUAAAAGGCUACCUUUCAAGUCUGAGGUUUGGCCCUGUCUGCUCUUGGUAUUUAAGGAUCUCCUGGCUGUUUUUGAAAGAGCAGGCUUUAAUCCCAAUGAUAUCCAAUCUUAACUUGAGUAAUUACUUGUAUCCACCUAAAUUUCACUGUGUAGCAAUUAAAUAUGCUGUUCUUAACUUGUCCUGAAGCUAUUGUGUUGUGGUACUGGUUCUGUUACAGUGGUUGCUGUAUUCUGCCCCAGAGAUGGCUCAUUUUUGGAGAUGGGUGAAGCUCAUUCAAAGAAUCUUGACUCUUGCAAAAGAUGUUUGUUCUACACUUAUUCUUGAAGGGAAUGGGGUCAGCAGUUCUCAAAUCUGUCAGUAAGAAGAGCAAAUGAUUUGUUGUGGUGGUAUUGUCGUCACUCUUUCAGUUUAGACGAACUACAGUUCUUGUGAUUUUGGGGUCUCUAAAACUGGGAAAUCUGUUAAAAUUUUCUUAACUUUUAUCGCAGCUUUAGAACAGGUUGUUUCUGACUUUGUAAAGUUCAUCCUGGAGUGGUAGUAACACCUUUAGUUAAGGAGCCCAAGUUUUUUAAUUAUCCCACUGAAAUGAAAAGUGUGAACACUUCCGGAACCAAAGACUUGUAAUAUUACAUGGCCACAGCCACAGCACUGGUUAUAGCUUCCCACUUACAGUUAUUGUGGCAGUACACAGAUGACCUGGAGGUACUGUAUUACACUAGUACAAUGGGAAAAGAAGCAACUUGUCUUUUGCUGACUGGGGGGAUGGGAUAAUUCAGUCUUGUAAAAUCCACGUAAUUGAAAAACUAUUUAGUGCAACUUUAGGUUAAUUUCCUUCAUCAGAUAAAAUAAACAAUGUUUGCUAUGUGUGGUUUCUUUUUUAAAACUUUUUUCCAUUUUUCUUCCAUUCUGAGACUUGUAUUUUAUUGGCCAGUUGCAUGCUGAUUGUGUGGCUUUAUCCUCUGGUCAUUAUUACUUUAUCUGU